CACCACCAUCAUCAUCAUGAGAUAUUACGUCGAACCCUAAACGGCAGUCGGCGCUCCUUCCCCUCAAGGCCAGUUACCCUUCAAUUCAUAUCUUCUUUAUGACGGAUGUUAUUUCAAAAUUAGGGCUUUUAUCUAUGUUGUUCGAUUCUUGCAGGUAAUCCACCAAGGGCGUAUCCAUCACAGCAAGGGUAACCACCUCACUACGGCGCGCAAACUUGCUGUGAAACCAAUUGACAUUCUCUCUAUGCUGAUCUGAGUUACAACCAAGUGAUAGUGUGAAGGAAACCCGUGUAACAAGGAUGAGGUGUCUCAAAAUGGUUCACCGCGGCGCUUAUGGUUCCUGCGACCCUCUGUGUACUCCGGUCAAGACGCCAAUGGAUCUCAACCCUAACAGUGGUGGCAGCGAUGCAUGGUCCAGAACAACUACUUCAACCGAUUCACUAGCGAAGAGGUUGUUCGAACCAAAUACUUCGAUAUGCCCUCUUUGGGUUGGCGGAUGGGUCGGGUUGUGGCGAAGGAUGUUGAGGCGGUGCCGGUGGCUUAGCCGUGGAAGGCGUUGGGUUGGUGGAGACACAAGCCUCAGUUUUGGUAUGCUUCAUUUUUAUUUAC